ACGACCACCCAGGGCCGGAAAGUUGGUCAAACCCGGUCAUUUAGAGGAAGUAAAAGUCGUAACAAGGUCUCCGUAGGUGAACCUGCGGAGGGAUCAUUACAAGUGACCCCGGCUACGGCCGGGAUGUUCAUAACCCUUUGUUGUCCGACUCUGUUGCCUCCGGGGCGACCCUGCCUUCGGGCGGGGGCUCCGGGUGGACACUUCAAACUCUUGCGUAACUUUGCAGUCUGAGUAAACUUAAUUAAUAAAUUAAAACUUUUAACAACGGAUCUCUUGGUUCUGGCAUCGAUGAAGAACGCAGCGAAAUGCGAUAAGUAAUGUGAAUUGCAGAAUUCAGUGAAUCAUCGAAUCUUUGAACGCACAUUGCGCCCCCUGGUAUUCCGGGGGGCAUGCCUGUUCGAGCGUCAUUUCACCACUCAAGCCUCGCUUGGUAUUGGGCAACGCGGUCCGCCGCGUGCCUCAAAUCGUCCGGCUGGGUCUUCUGUCCCCUAAGCGUUGUGGAAACUAUUCGCUAAAGGGUGUUCGGGAGGCUACGCCGUAAAACAACCCCAUUUCUAAGGUUGACCUCGGAUCAGGUAGGGAUACCCGCUGAACUUAAGCAUAUCAAUAAGCGGAGGAAAAGAAACCAACAGGGAUUGCUCUAGUAACGGCGAGUGAAGCAGCAAUAGCUCAAAUUUGAAAUCUGGCGUCUUCGACGUCCGAGUUGUAAUUUGUAGAGGAUGCUUCUGAGUGGCCACCGACCUAAGUUCCUUGGAACA
rnacentral:rRNA from 1 species